rnacentral:rRNA from 1 species
GGAAUAUUGGACAAUGGGCGCAAGCCUGAUCCAGCCAUGCCGCGUGCAGGAUGACGGUCCUAUGGAUUGUAAACUGCUUUUAUACGAGAAGAAACACUACUUCGUGAAGUAGCUUGACGGUAUCGUAAGAAUAAGGAUCGGCUAACUCCGUGCCAGCAGCCGCGGUAAUACGGAGGAUCCAAGCGUUAUCCGGAAUCAUUGGGUUUAAAGGGUCCGUAGGCGGUUUAAUAAGUCAGUGGUGAAAGCCCAUCGCUCAACGGUGGAACGGCCAUUGAUACUGUUAGACUUGAAUUAUUAGGAAGUAACUAGAAUAUGUAGUGUAGCGGUGAAAUGCUUAGAGAUUACAUGGAAUACCAAUUGCGAAGGCAGGUUACUACUAAUUGAUUGACGCUGAUGGACGAAAGCGUGGGUAGCGAACAGGAUUAGAUACCCGAG